UAAACUCAUUUUUAACCGACUUCAAGAUUUCAAAAGGAGGUACAUAUAGUGAAUUUUGUAUUUUUGUCAACAAAUCCAGCAUUUACAUUUAAAAAAGUGACAUUUGAUGAAGUGGAACUGCUGAUGAUGAUCAGAAUGGAACUCUUCAACGACACAUAUCGUUCCCGUUUGGCGAUUUGUUCUCUAUGGACCCAGAACCAAACUGGGACCCGGACUCGGACCCAGACCCGGAUCUGAACAUGGACCCCGACUCGGACCCGGACCGAACUCAGACCCGGACUUGAACCCGUACCCCGACUCGGACCCGGACCCAGACCGAAAACGGACUCAAACUUAGACCCGGACAGCCGGACACGGACCCGGACUCGGAUCUGGACAUGGUCUUGGACCUGAACCUGAACCUGGAACCUGGACCCGGACUAAGACCCGGACCCGAACCCAGACCUGGACCCGGAAAUGCUACUAGAAAAGUGGGUUAGGUUAGGUUUGAACUGCGAUCCUCGCAGAACCAAACUACUAUCAAAAAAGUGGGUUAGAUUAGAUUUGUGACCCUUACAGAAACGAAAUGCUACUAGAAAAGUGGGCGGUUUAAUGCUUUUUCCGUUCAUUGUCGGGAAUAUAAGUGCACCAUCAAAGACAUCUUUCAACGGCAUCCCCCAUUGAAGUCGGUUUUUUUUUCUUAAAAAUUAUUAUAUAUAAACUAAAAUGAUACAUAUAUAUAUACAUUCAAAUUUAAACUGGCCAAAAACGGUGCAAGGAUAUCCUUUGGUCCAGGUCGCUGUUUGUGCAAUCAGCAUUUGGUCCAAUACGCAAUUUGCCUUAAAAUCCGGACCGAAUUGAUUUAGUAGCAGACUGCCAAGAAUGAGUAGUUUUGUGGCAGUUCUUUAAUAUCGCAUUGCUGGGGGGGGGGAAGAGUAAGCGCUCCGGAACUACAAGAACAAAUAAGAACUGCCACAAAACUACUCAUUCUUGGCGAGCUAGGAAAGCAGAAGCACGCAUUGCUGGAGGGGGAGAAAGCGCUCCGAAACUACAAGAACAAAUCGAACAGCCAGUUAUUAAUUUUAGUUAUUGUAUUAAAUCAUUAUUUAAAAGUUGAUUAUUUUUAUUUGCAAUUGUUUUUGUCAUAACUUACAAGUCUGUUAUACUAGUUGGUUUUAAUUUCCUUCUAGCUUAAAAUGGUUUUACAAGUUAAGGAAGUGUACAACAUAAUAUAUCAAGGGUGUUACAAAGCCGAUUUUUUUUUGUUGAUGUUAAGAUACAUGUUAAGUUAUGUUUUGUUAAAAUAAGUAAACAGUUUUGCCAAAAUGAGUCUUUCUUACAACAACAGUGCUUUACGAUUGUAUAUUACCUAGCUCUAACAUCUGAAACCGUGUAAAAACGUCUUGCUAGAUACGAGUAGGUACCUAACCUGAUUUUGUUGCAGGAAUCCAUAUUAUCGAUAGUAUAUAAAGUUAGUGAAAAAGGAGCAAAGCAACUUUGAUACAUUUUUAUUUCUACUACUUCAAUGGAAUGACGAAAAGAAUCGCCUGUUCCACGUAGGGAUAGGUGGAACAAGGAAAAGACGAUUUGCGUAUGGGGCUAAUUGCAUUUAAGGCGAGCAGCGAGUAUGUCAAAAUGCAUACAUGGCGAACUCCGAUUGGGACCAACUGCUAAUAAGUCAAUUCGGUUUUGGUCCGGAUUUUUGGGCAAAUUGCGUAUUGGACCAAACGCUAAUUGGACAAGCAGCGACCUGGACCAAAUGCGAGCCAGACAAACGGCUAACAAAUCCCGUACUUCUGCCCUACGUAGGUAUAUUAAGUACAACGUAAUCCUUACCAGUUGUCCAAUUCAGUUUUGUACGGUAUAUAUAUCUAUACAUAUAUAUUAUAAAACGCAGUCCCCCGCCCCACCGCGUCUAUCUGUGUGUCUGUAUGUUCCCGAUAAACUCAAUAACUACUUAACAAAUUUUCAUGCAGUUUUCACCUACCAAUAGAGCGAUUCUUAAGGAAGGUUUAGCUAUAUAAUUUAUUAAGGUUUACCCGUGCGAAGCUGGGGCGGGUCGCUAGUUCUAUAUAUAUGGUUGUAGAGUUGGUUUGGCAUUUCAAAGCCAAAUAUUUGGAUGGAAAGUAGGUACCUACUCACUAUCUAAAUGUUACCAUAUCAUAACAAAACAGUUAGGCAGUAAAAGAAGCAUGUUUUUAAAAUGUAAAUACUUAGGGGAUAUUACUGCAAUGUUCUGCCGCCAGAGUGCAGCACUAGCACAUAUUGUAAACCAUCUUAGACCAUAGAUAACUGGACUAGCCUUUCAGUAACAUACCCCUCUGUCAAAAACCUUGUAAAAUUGUGUAAAAAAUCCUGUACAGACAUAGUUAAACUUAACUAUUGUGUAAUAUGGCAGGUAACUUGAUAAGUAAAGAGUAGAAAUAAGGGUCUGAAGCAGUACGUAAGGCUACAUUGAUUUCAUAGGCACCUAGAUCAAUCUACAUUCAAACCACAUCGACCUACACAUGUAUGUAUAAGUAUGCUGCAGAUUUUUCGUUUACCCCUAUUUUACUUGAAAUAAAAGCUUACAACAUAGUCAGCAUACCUCUGCCUACUCGUAAUAUUGGGUUGGAAUGGAUUCCGAGGAGCCGUAAUUUCCACGAGUUUUUAAAUAAUCUAAUGGAACAAAUGUAGGUAUUGUAUGAUGUAAUAUUGUCGAGUACCUAUACCGUGUACCGUGUGAAUGAGAUGAAUAUUUUCCCUGCAGGCUUUUUCAUUUAGGUAUGAAAAGGUGAUAGAUUUUUUUUUAAAUCAUGAAUUCGGUUGUGUAAGUUGGUAUCUAAGAUAUCGUACACUUAACAAUCGUGUAGGUAUAUUUUUAGACAAUUGUACCUAUAACCAAAUACAAAUACUAUUGAAGUUCCUAUUUGGCCUGUCAUAACUGUAUGUAGUAAAAUAUUUUUUAACAAGCAGAAACGUCUGCGAACGAUGCUAUUAAGCUUAGAUAAAUUUAAAAGUAGAAAAAUUACUGCCUUGGGUGAGUCUUGAACUCAUGGCCUCUGGAUCGAUACUCCAGCAUUUGCCAACUGGGCCACCAACACCUCAUCCAUAGUCAGCAAAUCUUCCCACUAUAUGGGUGUAGGAGACCCUAGCGACAUCAACCGUAAGAUGUCGCUAGGGUAUAUCGAUCCAGAGGCUCACAGCUAUUGCCCGGAUUACAGUUGUUAUUCAUCAAAUAUAUCGAUGUGAACAUGGUGCUCAUAAAGAUCUGGACAAGACUAUAUUGUCCAGGCGUUAGUGCAAAUUCCGCACCCUGUAUCUAUAAAUGUACCUAUAUUAUCGAUGGCGACUGUAAGACUUGUAAUAUCUAAUUUUAUAAAAUAUGUUUUAGAUAUUAUUAUUACCUAUAAUGAAUUAUAAAUCGUGCAAUCAUG